GACAGAGGUGCCAAGCGUUAGGCGGAAUCACUGGGCUUAAAGCGUGUGUAGGCGGAUUGGUAAGUACCUUGUGAAAUCCCACAGCUCAACUGUGGAACUGCUCGGUAUACUGCUUAUCUUGAGCCACUUAGGGGCUACCGGAACAAAUGGUGGAGCGGUGAAAUGCGUAGAUAUCAUUUGGAACGCCAAUGGUGAAAACAGGGUAGCUGGGAGUGUGCUGACGCUGAGACACGAAAGCCAGGGGAGCAAACGGG
rnacentral:rRNA from 1 species